UACGAGGUGGCAAGCGUUGUCCGGAAUUAUUGGGCGUAAAGCGCGCGCAGGCGGUUUCUUAAGUCUGAUGUGAAAGCCCACGGCUCAACCGUGGAGGGUCAUUGGAAACUGGGGAACUUGAGUACAGAAGAGGAGAGUGGAAUUCCACGUGUAGCGGUGAAAUGCGUAGAGAUGUGGAGGAACACCAGUGGCGAAGGCGGCUCUCUGGUCUGUAACUGACGCUGAGGCGCGAAAGCGUGGGGAGCAAACAGG
rnacentral:rRNA from 1 species